GACGAACGCUGGCGGCGUGCUUAACACAUGCAAGUCGAACGGAAAGGCCCCUUUGGGGGUACUCGAGUGGCGAACGGGUGAGUAACACGUGAGUAACCUGCCCUUGACUUCGGGAUAACUUCAGGAAACUGGGGCUAAUACCGGAUAGGAAUCCUUGCUGCAUGGUGGGGGUUGGAAAGCUUCGGCGGUUUUGGAUGGACUCGCGGCUUAUCAGCUUGUUGGUGGGGUAGUGGCUUACCAAGGCUUUGACGGGUAGCCGGCCUGCGAGGGCGACCGGCCACAUUGGGACUGAGAUACGGCCCAGACUCCUACGGGAGGCAGCAGUGGGGAAUAUUGCACAAUGGGCGGAAGCCUGAUGCAGCAACGCCGCGUGCGGGAUGACGGCCUUCGGGUUGUAAACCGCUUUCAGCAGGGGCGAAGCUUGUGGUGACGGUACCUGCAGAAGAAGCACCGGCUAACUACGUG
rnacentral:rRNA from 1 species